rnacentral:rRNA from 1 species
UACGGAGGAUGCGAGCGUUAUCCGGAUUUAUUGGGUUUAAAGGGUGCGUAGGCGGGCUUUUAAGUCAGCGGUAAAAAUUCGGGGCUCAACCCCGUCCGGCCGUUGAAACUGGGGGCCUUGAGUGGGCGAGAAGAAGGCGGAAUGCGUGGUGUAGCGGUGAAAUGCAUAGAUAUCACGCAGAACCCCGAUUGCGAAGGCAUCCUUCCGGCGCCCUACUGACGCUGAGGCACGAAAGUGCGGGGAUCGAACAGG